rnacentral:rRNA from 1 species
GAUGAACGCUGGCGGCGCGCCUAACACAUGCAAGUCGAACGGCACCUAUCUUCGGAUAGAAGCGAGUGGCGAACGGCUGAGUAACACGUGGAGAACCUGCCCCCUCCCCCGGGAUAGCCGCCCGAAAGGACGGGUAAUACCGGAUACCCCCGGGCGCCGCAUGGCGCCCGGGCUAAAGCCCCGACGGGAGGGGAUGGCUCCGCGGCCCAUCAGGUAGACGGCGGGGUGACGGCCCACCGUGCCGACAACGGGUAGCCGGGUUGAGAGACCGACCGGCCAGAUUGGGACUGAGACACGGCCCAGACUCCUACGGGAGGCAGCAGUGGGGAAUCUUGCGCAAUGGGGGGAACCCUGACGCAGCGACGCCGCGUGCGGGACGGAGGCCUUCGGGUCGUAAACCGCUUUCAGCAGGGAAGAGUCAAGACUGUACCUGCAGAAGAAGCCCCGGCU